AGCCACAGGCAGACGUUUAACAGACUGAGCCACCCAGGCUUCCCCAUUUAUGGGCACUUUAUUGAAAGGCUGCUUGUAGGGCUGCCAAGGAAAUGCUGGAAGAACUCAUGUCAGAAGCCUGGACGUGGCAUGGACCUAGGACAUAGUUACUAAAUGAACAACUGCAGGAGCAAAGUUUAAAGAGCAAGGAUGCCUUUUUGCAUAGCAGGGAGGGCCAAGAAUCACGUGACAUGGUUUGACUGGCCCUGGGAAGACUGUCUGGUCCCUUCACUCGGCAGAUACAUACAGCGCCUGAGAGUCUCACCUUGGGUUGAUGAAGACUUUAUGUUGAGGUAUUGAAUCCUGUUCUAAAAUGGAAAUGAUUCUGGAGCAGAGAAAUGUCUGAAUAUUACCUCAAAUGAAGUACCUGAUCCCAAGAUCCCCAAGACAGCAAUUCACACAGAGGAAGCAAGGGAUCCAGGAAGAAAGUCUCAUCUAGAGACACAUCCUUUCCUUGGGUGGCCCCUAUCCAGUGAUUGAUCAGUGUGGAGGCCUAAAUCCCUAGUCAUCUCAGCCUAACUCACAGGUAUUACUGCUGAGAAGAAACUUUCUUAAGUGCCAGGCAAGGAACAAUGUCUGCAUGAAGGAUACCAAAGGACCCUUCUGGGCAAAGGAUUCGAUAUCUUCUUUCACACCAAAGUCUUGAUUCUACUCAGGAUUGGACAUCAUCAUGGACUUCUCUUCUUGGAGAAAAAUCUACUUAGGGCUCUCUUGAGAAAAACCUUCUUAGGUACCCUAACCUGUUUUUCCAGAUCAUUGAUAUUAUGACAUUUUCAAGAAAAGAUUACCUUUUUCCAUUUGAUGGAAACAAAAUUUAUACAGGACAACUCACCUUGAGCUUACAUAAGAGACACUACAGAAUUUUGCACAAAUUAAAAGCAUUAAUAGCUUUAGUGUUUUUUUUUUUUAAAUUUUUACUUUUCAGAAAAAUGUCAAAAAAAGAGCCCAAAUGAAUAUUUGACAAUGUUUUAAAAAUAAACAGAAAUUUUAAUUUUCAUGUGGUAAUGGUUAUAGAAACAUUUAACCAGCUCAUUAGGUUAGUUAUACACACUCAGGGUACUAUUUUUAUUGGGAUGAAUAUGCAGUGUUCUCCAGUUUCUUUAUUGCCUUUAUAAUUAUUCAGGUUCCUGAGACUAUGUAGACAGCCACAGUCACUUUUUAUUUAAAAAAGUUAAUUGGCCAUUAUUUUAUAAAUUCAGUAGUUUAUAAAGUAUUUAUGUGCAUCCAAUUAAAUAAUAAUUUUGUUUUGUUUUUGAAUGUAUAUUUAUUUCAUUUUCUAACAGAGUCAUUUAUUAUGACAUUAGAUUUCAAAUGACUAGUCAUUAAAAAAAAAAGAACUAAGCACUGGUAGGAUUGUCCUAUUUUCCCUCCAAAAUUAAGUUGCCAUUUCUGUAAUCUGUUUUGAAGAGCAUAGGGCAAAAUUAAUUGUAUGGAAUAUGUGGUUUGCUUAUUGGAAUUAAACUGGUUACAACAAAA